rnacentral:rRNA from 2 species
AACGCUGGCGGCAUGCCUAAUACAUGCAAGUCGAACGAGCUUCCGUUGAAUGACGUGCUUGCACUGAUUUCAACAAUGAAGCGAGUGGCGAACUGGUGAGUAACACGUGGGGAAUCUGCCCAGAAGCAGGGGAUAACACUUGGAAACAGGUGCUAAUACCGUAUAACAACAAAAUCCGCAUGGAUUUUGUUUGAAAGGUGGCUUCGGCUAUCACUUCUGGAUGAUCCCGCGGCGUAUUAGUUAGUUGGUGAGGUAAAGGCCCACCAAGACGAUGAUACGUAGCCGACCUGAGAGGGUAAUCGGCCACAUUGGGACUGAGACACGGCCCAAACUCCUACGGGAGGCAGCAGUAGGGAAUCUUCCACAAUGGACGAAAGUCUGAUGGAGCAAUGCCGCGUGAGUGAAGAAGGGUUUCGGCUCGUAAAACUCUGUUGUUAAAGAAGAACACCUUUGAGAGUAACUGUUCAAGGGUUGACGGUAUUUAACCAGAAAGCCACGGCUAACUA